UGGGGAAUUUUGGACAAUGGGGGAAACCCUGAUCCAGCCAUCCCGCGUGUGCGAUGAAGGCCUUCGGGUUGUAAAGCACUUUUGGCAGGAAAGAAACGUCAUGGGUUAAUACCCCGUGAAACUGACGGUACCUGCAGAAUAAGCACCGGCUAACUACGUGCCAGCAGCCGCGGUAAUACGUAGGGUGCAAGCGUUAAUCGGAAUUACUGGGCGUAAAGCGUGCGCAGGCGGUUCGGAAAGAAAGAUGUGAAAUCCCAGAGCUCAACUUUGGAACUUCAUUUUUAACUACCUGGCUAGAGUGUGUCAGAGGGAGGUGGAAUUCCGCGUGUAGCAGUGAAAUGCGUAGAUAUGCGGAGGAACACCGAUGGCGAAGGCAGCCUCCUGGGAUAACACUGACGCUCAUGCACGAAAGCGUGGGGAGCAAACAGG
rnacentral:rRNA from 1 species